GACGAACGCUGGCGGCGUGCUUAACACAUGCAAGUCGAACGGUAAGGCCCUCCGGGGUACACGAGUGGCGAACGGGUGAGUAACACGUGGGUGAUCUGCCCUGCACUUCGGGAUAAGCCUGGGAAACUGGGUCUAAUACCGGAUAGGACUCCGGACUGCAUGGUCUGGGGUGGAAAGCUUUUGCGGUGUGGGAUGGGCCCGCGGCCUAUCAGCUUGUUGGUGGGGUGAUGGCCUACCAAGGCGACGACGGGUAGCCGGCCUGAGAGGGUGACCGGACACACUGGGACUGAGAUACGGCCCAGACUCCUACGGGAGGCAGCAGUGGGGAAUAUUGCACAAUGGGCGCAAGCCUGAUGCAGCGACGCCGCGUGAGGGAUGACGGCCUUCGGGUUGUAAACCUCUUUCAGCAUCGACGAAGCGAAAGUGACGGUAGGUGCAGAAGAAGGACCGGCCAACUACGUGCCAGCAGCCGCUGUAA
rnacentral:rRNA from 1 species